AUUUUCAGGAAGAGCGAACCAGAGCACAUUAUAAGCAGAUAAUAGAGAAAGUGAUUCCAGUUGUGGAGAAGCGAAAACCGCCUCGUGUCCUGCGAAGAGUUUGCUCCAUGCAGUGGUAAUAUAUCAUUGUGAGACGGGCAUAGUUUAAAAUUAAUGCCUUCUGAUAUAGAUAAAGAGUAAAGGAGCCUAACCAUGCUGUGGGUAAGUGAUAUAACAUCUGGAUGGAUAAUUUAGUGGAUGAUGAUUCUUUCUGAGUGGUAGUGCUUCCUUUGUAAAGAGCAGUAUCGUGGCCUGGAAAAUCUAUAACGAGAUCUAAUAUUUAUGUAGUGGGGAGGGAGUUCAUCGAAAUCAAAACAAUUAUUUAGUUAGUUGUAGUUAUAGGAGGUUUAGAAUGCAAAUGCCUCACUUGUUAGAUUGGAUGCACACAAG